UUUAGUGAGUGUUGUGCAAGUCCUGAAAUAUCAUAAAGGUUAGAAUUUUAUUUUAGUUUAAGAAAAAAGAUUACAUUUUUAAAAAUAGUGAUGAUGAGUCAAAUUCAAAAAUGUAUUGUGAUGAUUUUGAUGAUGAUGAUGUUGUUUACAAUACAAGUUCAGUGCAUCACUCAAUCUCAAGACUCUAAGUCAGACAAACCCCUAGGCUUUUUUUGUAAAAUAAGGUGUUUCUUUUAUGUCUGUGGGAAAUUAUUAGGCCAGGAGUACCAAAACUGCAUGAAUAGUUGUCUUGUAAAUUGCUAAGAACAACACUGCUAUGAUUCUUCGCAUAAGCAAUGGUGUUCGUGCUUAAGGAUGGUGCAUGCUUGUCGUACUUGUGAUGCUUACAAACAAUUCUUCAAAUGUGGAGAGUUGCAAUAAAUAAUAAAUAAUAUGGGAAAUGUUAUUCAAUGAAAUGUAUUUAUAAAUAUUGACACUGUGUCAAACUUAAAUAAAUUUAUUUUAUUCAAGAUA